AACCACUUCCUGUGGUAAUGAAUUCCACAGGCUCACACUCUGGGUGAAGAAGUGUCGCCCCAUCUCAGUCUUAACCACUCCACUCGGAAUCCUCAGACAGUAACCCCUGGUUCUGGAUGCACUCACCAUCAGGAACACCCUCCCUGCAUUUAUCCUGUUCGAAUUUUAUGCCUCGGAGAUCAUCCCCCUCACUUGCAUGAACACUGGCGAAAGCAAUUCUAAUGUAGUCAAUCUCAUACAUCAGUCCCACCAACCAUGGAACCAGCCUGGGAAACCCUCACUGCACUCCCUCAAGAGUAAGACCAUCCUCCCUCGAAAGGAAACCAAAACUCCCCACAAUAUUCUAGGUGUGGCCUCACCAAGGCCCUGUAUAGUUUUCCCCUCUGAGGAAAACGGUUCCCACCGCCCAAUCUAUCUAACCCUCUGAUUAUCUUAGGUGGAUCAAUCAAGUCACCUCUCAACCUUCUCUCGAAUGAAAACAAGUCCCUCAGACCUUCCCUCCCCACCAGAGUGAAGAGAAAUACAGAGUUGUAAUUCAUCAAAGAGCAGCAGUGAGUCGGGGGAGAGGUUGCAUGGGUGCUCGAUCAGUUGUUAAUUUUAGAUCUGAGAUCAAUACAUUUUGUUCAGCAAAGGUAUUAAGGGACGCGGGCUAAAGAUCAGCCAUGAUCUAAUUAAAUAGCGGGAACAGGUUUGAAGUGCUGAACUGGCUCUUCUUCUGUUCGCAUGACUGAAGGUUUAGCUGUAACCCAGACAGUGAGCAAAUCCCAUAGGCUGAGAAAUGAUCCAGAAACCAAGGGGAGAGGGAAGGGCCUUCACACCCACCUGGAUUCAACCUUAGCUCUCCCCCCCCUACCUGUCGGUUUUGAGGUUGCGUACUUCACAGACUGACAGCUCUAUCUAAACUCUAUUUUGCCUUGCAGUAGUGAAGCCAGUGCAAAGUGGUUGGACGCUCACUAUGACCCUGUGGCUAACCUCUAUACGUUCUCCUCUUGCGUGGCUCUGGCAGACUUGCAUGGGGAUGGAGACAACAAGCUGAUUGUCGGGGACCUUGGCACCGGUCCGUCCACUGUGAAGUUGAAGGUGUACCGAGGCACCACCAUGCUGUCGGAGAACACUCUGAUUGACGUGCCGACCGGAGUGGUGGCGUUCCUGAUGGACACCAACGAGCCGAGGACCCCCGCUGUGGCCGUAGCCUCCGGACCCUACAUCUACAUCUACAAGAACCUCCGGCCCUACUUCAAAUUCACCCUGCCCCCUCUGGAGGUGAACCCACUCGAGCAGGAUGUGUGGCACCAGGUGA